UUGUCUUUUGUUUGAAUUUUGUCUCUCGGACUCUAUAGAAAGCUUGAGUGCCAAUAAUGUCAUAGAUUCCUAUUGUUGCCAUUUAAGGGAUAUAGGUUCAAACCCUAUCAAGUGCAAAUGCUCACGUUUCCGUAGUAGGUGGUUGGGCGCCACAUGCGGUCCAAUCUAACGGGACACUCCUACUUUGUUAAACCCUCCACCUCCUCAAGCACUCAAAUUUUCCGUAAAAUCAAGAGACAAAACCCUAAUCUAAAACAAUAUCAUUCUAUCGAGACAUCCAUCAACUUCAAACCGACAACACAUUAACC
rnacentral:lncRNA from 1 species